rnacentral:rRNA from 1 species
AGCGUAGGCGGACAGUUAAGUGGGAUGUGAAAUACCCGGGCUCAACCUGGGUGCUGCAUUCCAAACUGGUUGUCUAGAGUGCAGGAGAGGAGAGUGGAAUUCCUAGUGUAGCGGUGAAAUGCGUAGAGAUUAGGAAGAACACCAGUGGCGAAGGCGACUCUCUGGACUGUAACUGACGCUGAGGCUCGAAAGCGUGGGGAGCAAACA